GGAAGUUGGAAGUCUUAUGGUCCAGACUGUGGCUGGGCUAUGCAUGGUGGUGGCAUCUCUGUGGGCCCCAGGGCAGCUUAUGUCAAGUGCCAGACUAAUGGUAAGUAGGAACAAGAGUACCAACCACAGACCAAGGAGCAGGCCCCUGACCUAUUUUUCUGACUCUGUAUAAGAAACAGAGGCUAAAAUAAGCCAUCUGGUCAACCAGGUAGAACCAGAUUUAGAACAAGAGCACUGUUACUGCCAAUCCCACGGGAUUGCUUCUAAGCAAUCAUAAUGCCAAUCACAUUGCAAAAUGUUUGUGGAUUGCAGAAGCUCCACCAAGAAUGGAGACUGAAGCAAAUGGGAGAAGGGAGAUAGUGGAAAUGGGAGAACUAAUCAAGCCUUCAGUCAUCAGGGACACAUCAUCUCUGCUUAUCCCAGAGAACAUCAUCCUUUGUGGCCAUUUUUCUAGGGUCAACAAGAAAAAAAUCAUACCUUUUCAUUUUCAUAUACACUUAGAACAGUAAAUGUAUUCACAGAAAUAUAAGAGGCAUACUAGAAAGUUACAAAAGGGCCUGAGCUCAGAAGGCAGAAUCCGUCGUGGAGCGUGUCCAACUCCUACCCCAAGAGCAGCCUCCAUGUUUACCCACGGACUGGGCUCACACACAGGCAGGCAGCUCCGAGCUCUGAGCACCUCAGCAUCCUUGGACUCUGAGCUAGCGUGGUCACAUGUCGGGGGGACAGAGUUCCCCAGCCCUUACCCUGCAGUCUUGCUUCUGAUAGGGAAACCUUGAGCUCGUAGUGACUGUGGGGCUGGCUCUCCAGGACAAGCCCCUCCAGUGGAGCCAGGAACCAGAGGUCUUUUUCUCCACUUGGACAGGUUGGCAGCCACUUUCCUUCUCUCUUGCUCAAUCCUUCCUCCUGCAUUCCAUCGGAGUUCUUGUUUCCCAUCCAAAGAGCUCAAUUCCUUUCUGAGCAAUUCCUGUUUUCUAGUCUUCCAUCUCUUCCUAUUGUACAGACACCAGUUCAUCAGAAAGAGUUUCCCAGUUAAUUUUGAUGUAGCCCAGCGUCACCUCUUACAGUGUCUGGCUCAGAAAUUAAUUCUUCCUUAAGUCUAACUCAAUCCCCCAUGUUCCUCCCCUGUUUCUAAACUCUCAGCAGGCUCCCCAUUAUCUCCUGAACUAAAUUCUGUCUCCUAAGCCCAGCCUUAGAGGUCUUCCUCCUUCUGGUCUCCAGGGCUAGAUGCACUGUCUCCCCUGGCUGAUGCAGCCUCAUGCCGGGGUGUGUGGCCUUGGAAAGGGGAAUUUGACUUGUACCUACUCACCCCCAGGGUCCUUUAUCAGGCACCUGUUGGUCCCAGCCAGCCUCUUCAACCUCAUUUCCUAUUUUUCCUUCUACCCUUGCCUGGUGGCUGGCCCAGUGCCCUACUCACCAUGUCUCUGAAUGGCAUCAUGCUGCACAGCCACCUGUGGCAACAAGGAAGGGAGCAGCUCUCCCUGCUCAGCAUCACUCUGUUAGAGGAUUCUAAGGGGAUGAACUGCUUGUGCUCCAAUGUCUUCUAGGGUUUUUAGUGAAAUGGCUCCUUCUGUUUUACCUUCAUGAGGCUGGAGGAGGAGUCCUGAGUGGGGAGGUGCUGAGUUGGAAGGAGCCAAGAGCCAUGCUCUAGCAGAGAGGGCACUGCCUUGGGUACAGGUGCUGGGCCUGGGAGCUGACUCUGCCACUAAAAGGCCAUGAGACCAUGGACAAGUCACUCUCAUUUUCAGGCCUCCAUUUCCUCACCUGUAUCACGGGGGCCGGACUCAGCGAUUCUCAAGCUGCUCUGGGCCCCUAUCAUGAGGACUGGGAGUGAGUUAAUACAUGUACAAUGUUUAGCACAGUGCCUAGCACAUAGAAAAUACCCAAUAAAUUAGCUCUUUGAUGUUAUUGUUGUUAGAAUUACUACUCCCAUUGGCUUCCAGGAAGCUCAGAGAUCAGAGCUCAGUUGAAUAUUCAACUAAAAAAAUCCUCCGGCUGGGCAUGGUGGUUCAUGCCUGUAAUCCCAGCAUUUUGGGAGGCCAAGGCAGGCAGAUCACCUGAGGUUGGGAGAUUGAGACCAUCCUAGCUAACACGGUGAAACCCUGUCUCUACUAAAAAUACAAAAAAUUAGCUGGGUGUGGUGGCACAUGCCUACAAUCCCAGCUACUUGGGAGGCUGAGGCAGGAGAAUUGGUUAAACCCAGGAGGCGGAGGUUGCGGUAAGCUGAGAUCGCGCCACUGCACUCCAGCCUGGGCAACAAGAGUGAAACUCCAUCUCAAAUAAAUCGUUUGCAUUAUUAUGAAAGAAAAGACCAGGUAUUUGGUAGAUGUAUCAGUCAGCAAAUGCUAUAAUAAUUCUGCAUAACAAACCAUGAGCAUACAACAAUGAGCUUUUGUUUUCCUUGCCCUCAGGGCUGUGGGUUGGCUGGGAGGCUCUGCAUCAGGCUACAGGGCUGCCGGGCUUGGUGGAGGUAUACUGCACUCACACUAAUGGAGGGCACUGCAAAAUCACAUAACAAAGGGUAUGAGUGUAAAAUUCUAACACCAGAAGCGUCUGCAGAAUGAUAAACAAUGAUUCAUUUAUACAGAGGACAACCAAGAUUGCCAGGAAAUUCAAUGUCUGCAGUCUUGGUCCCCGGAGACCUCCCAGGAACCUGCUGCUGCUGCUGUCCUACAAUUCAGCUCCCAGUGUAGCUUCCAGUUCUGAUGAUCCCACUUCCCCGGUUACAGAUUAAGCUAGUCCAGCCUCUCACAUGAGCUUUUUAGGCCACAGUCCCUAGUUUCAGCCUAACCAGACACCUGCAGCCUUUUCUCUAAGGUUUUGCCAAGACAAACAGAGUAGUUC
rnacentral:lncRNA from 1 species